GACGAACGCUGGCGGCGUGCUCAACACAUGCAAGUCGAACGAAGAGCGAUGGAAGCUUGCUUCUAUCAAUCUUAGUGGCGAACGGGUGAGUAACGCGUAAUCAACCUGCCCUUCAGAGGGGGACAACAGUUGGAAACGACUGCUAAUACCGCAUACGAUCUAACCUCGGCAUCGAGGAUGGAUGAAAGGUGGCCUCUAUUUAUAAGCUAUCACUGAAGGAGGGGAUUGCGUCUGAUUAGCUAGUUGGAGGGGUAACGGCCCACCAAGGCGAUGAUCAGUAGCCGGUCUGAGAGGAUGAACGGCCACAUUGGGACUGAGACACGGCCCAGACUCCUACGGGAGGCAGCAGUGGGGAAUCUUCCACAAUGGACGAAAGUCUGACGGAGCAACGCCGCGUGAGUGAUGACGGCCUUCGGGUUGUAAAGCUCUGUUAAUCGGGACGAAAGGCCUUCUUGCGAAUAGUUAGAAGGAUUGACGGUACCGGAAUAGAAAGCCACGGCUAACUACGUG
rnacentral:rRNA from 1 species